UUUUUUUUUGUUAGUUCAAUUUCAAUUUUUUCCUAUAUUAUUGCUUAUUCUGAAUGUUACCUCCAAGAAACAAUGCAUACCAAAUUUAUUUUCCUUUUCUACAAUUAAAAUAGUUUUUACAUGAGCUUCUAGAUUUAUCCAGUAAUGUCUCAUCUGUGAUACUUUAAGCCAAAAAAAAAUUUUAACUAAGUUGCUAAGACAGAGUAUUCAUGGAGAUACAUUGAUUUCAGUUUGGAUAUGAGGUUGGAAUUGAAAUUUGGAAUAUUGCAUCUUCAAAAUGAACCAUUCAAAUGGGAAUAUACACUGAAAUUCAGAGCAUUUAACACACAAAUUUUUAUUUCCUUUAGAUCACCACUGUUUCUGUGAUUUUAUUCUAUCUGCUGGGUUUCUCUGAACAAGCUACACCAUAUAGCAUCAUUUAUUUAGUACCACAAGCCACACUGAUUGCAACUUUUUCAUCUAUUUCCAUAAGUAAUGCCACUGUCUGCUUCAGUGUCCUGGAACUCGUGACCAAUUGUGAAAGCUUUCCCUGUGUUGGAACCUCAGUAUGUUGAACCUGUAUGAAAUUUGAAAAUUUCCACCUUGUGGAUACUGAUUGGAAUCUCACAGAUGGGACACUGUGAUUCAGCUGGUGUAUAACAGAAAAUGUGGCCCUGGUUAACAUGCGGAGAGGAAUACAACUAGGAGGUGGGAAGGAGAGCAGCCUUCAGCAUCAUUCUAGUUUCUCCCAGAAAAAAAUGAUAUACAUCAAAAUCCAGAAGAGCCAGAAGGGGAAGAUGAGGUUGUUCAGAUAGAAAGAGUGAAAACAGCUGGUGCCUUGAAUUCCACAAAUUUUGAUGAGGUAAAAUAUGUGAAGUAGCUAUUGCAUCAAAUAUUGCAAGUGUGUCUGUUAACUCGGUCAGUUUACCAGACUAAUUCUAAAAUGAUUUUGAGUUGCUUUCCUCCUUCCAGAUGAGAACUACUACUUUGGAAGGUGUUCAUCAUUUUAAUACCUAAGUGGGCAGAUUACAAGUCAAAUUAACUCUCUUUGUAUUUCUUAGAACAAAAAAAUAAAGUGCAAUUUCAAUUACAAAAGAGAACUCUCAGAAACUGAACAACGCAACAUAUAUCACUGCUUUUCGGGGAAAAGGCACAGUACAAAAUUCAGAAAAAGUCCAGUCCACAGCAUGGACUUUGAGGGUGAUUCAGUGCUUUCUCAUGGCUCUGGGGGAACAAGCAGGCUGCACAGAAUUAUGUGCUCCUCAGUGGCUGCCUUUGCAGGUGAGAAAAUGACGGUGCCUUCUCUCCAAAAAUAAGUGCUAGGACAGAAGAACAGCCAAUGCACUUGUCACCUAGUAGACGGACCCCUUUGAUGCAUAGCUUGGCAGCAAAGGGGCAGAGCAAUGCAAAGAGAGAGUUUUUUAAAAGUUCAUGAGGAGAAUUAAGGUCUGGUACAAUUUACUUGUCGUUUACAGAAGCCAGUCAUUGUUACUAGCUGUCUAUGCAAGGAGUACACAGGAAAGAGGAGGAGUUGCUUUUUGAAGAGGAAAAACAAAAUAGCCACAAGAAAUAUCUCAUUCUGUGUUAGGAAAGGUUCGAUGCCAGGGUUUUCUGUUGGCUCAGAGCCUCUGUAGAGUGACAGGGUUCCUAAGAAGGAUCAGUCCCAUACCUCUGCUUGGAUCCCACACAGAACCCUCAGCAGAGUGCCCUGACUGCCCCUUUGGUAUGUCUCAAUCUGAAUUAAAUUAAGUCAUCCCAUGUUCAGGGCACAGCUGAUAACCAUAAGCUAUUAAAGUGAGCCAUUGAUGCCAUGACAUUUUAAUUAGAUGAACCCAGUUAAUUUCUUGAUGUUCAUUAUUUUUCAUAAAAGAACAGGCUGAGGAUAUGCUAGCAUAUUCCGCAGGCUUGAUCAGAAUGUGUUAGAUGACCUUAAGUUGGGUCAUUUUUGCACCCUGGUUAGGAUCACAGAGGACAGAAUCUGACACUCUUAAAUUUCAAGAGUGGCCUUACCACUUUCCAUCAGUGUACCUUGGG
rnacentral:lncRNA from 1 species